AACGAACGCUGGCGGCAUGCCUAACACAUGCAAGUCGAACGAACCCUUCGGGGUGAGUGGCGCACGGGUGCGUAACACGUGGGAACCUGCCCUUAGGUUCGGAAUAACAGUUAGAAGUGACUGCUAAUACCGGAUAAUGUCUUCGGACCAAAGAUUUAUCGCCUUUGGAUGGGCCCGCGUAGGAUUAGCUAGUUGGUGAGGUAAAGGCUCACCAAGGCGACGAUCCUUAGCUGGUCUUAGAGGAUGAUCAGUCACACUGGGACUGAGACACGGCCCAGACUCCUACGGGAGGCAGCAGUGGGGAAUAUUGGACAAUGGGCGAAAGCCUGAUCCAGCAAUGCCGCGUGAGUGAUGAAGGCCUUAGGGUUGUAAAGCUCUUUUACCUGGGAUGAUAAUGACAGUACCAGGAGAAUAAGCCCCGGCUAACUCCGUGCCAGCCGCCGCCGUAA
rnacentral:rRNA from 1 species